rnacentral:rRNA from 1 species
CCUACGGGUGGCAGCAGUGGGGAAUAUUGCGCAAUGGGCGAAAGCCUGACGCAGCGACGCCGCGUGAGGGAUGAAGGUCUUCGGAUCGUAAACCUCUGUCAGCAGGGAAGAACGGUCACUGUGCUAAUGAGUAGUGAAUUGACGGUACCUGCAAAGGAAGCACAGGCUAACUCCGUGCCAGCAGCCGCGGUAAUGCGGGGGGUGGGAGCGUUAAUCGGAAUUAUUGGGCGUAAAGCGCUCGUAGGCGGUAUGUCAAGGCAAGGGUGAAAACCCCGAGCUCAACGUGGGUACUGCCGUUGAAACUGGCAAACUGGAGUGUGUGAGAGGAUAGUGGAAUGCCAGGUGUAGGGGUGAAAUCCGUAGAUAUCUGGAGGAACAUCAGUGGCGAAGGCGACUAUCUGGCACAUAACUGACGCUGAGGAGCGAAAGCGUGGGUAGCGAACAGGAUUAGAUACCCCAGUAGUC